rnacentral:rRNA from 1 species
AACGAACGCUGGCGGCAUGCCUAACACAUGCAAGUCGAACGAGACCUUCGGGUCUCGUGGCGCACGGGUGCGUAACGCGUGGGAACCUGCCCUUAGGUUCGGAAUAACUCCCCGAAAGGGGUGCUAAUACCGGAUAAUGUCUUCGGACCAAAGAUUGAUCGCCUUUGGAUGGGCCCGCGUUGGAUUAGCUAGUUGGUAGGGUAAAAGCCUACCAAGGCGACGAUCCAUAGCUGGUCUGAGAGGAUGAUCAGCCACACUGGGACUGAGACACGGCCCAGACUCCUACGGGAGGCAGCAGUGGGGAAUAUUGGACAAUGGGCGAAAGCCUGAUCCAGCAAUGCCGCGUGAGUGAUGAAGGCCUUAGGGUUGUAAAGCUCUUUUACCCGGGAUGAUAAUGACAGUACCGGGAGAAUAAGCUCCGGCUAACUCCGUG